UACAGAGGGUGCGAGCGUUAAUCGGAAUUACUGGCGUAAAGCGUGCGUAGACGGUAGCGUAAGUCAGAUGUGAAAGCCCCGGGCUCAACCUGGGAAUUGCAUUCGAGACUGCAUGGCUAGGGUGCGGAAGAGGGAAGCGGAAUUUCCGGUGUAGCGGUGAAAUGCGUAGAUAUCGGAAGGAACACCAGUGGCGAAAGCGGCUUCCUGGUCCAGCACCGACGUUCAGGCACGAAAGCGUGGGGAGCAAACAGG
rnacentral:rRNA from 1 species